rnacentral:rRNA from 1 species
GACGAACGCUGGCGGCGUGCUUAACACAUGCAAGUCGAACGAUGAAGGAGAGCUUGCUCUCCGGAUUAGUGGCGAACGGGUGAGUAACACGUGACUAACCUGCCCCUUUCUCUGGGAUAACGCUCCGAAAGGAGUGCUAAUACCGGAUACGAACUCUGAACACAUGUUCGGAGUUGGAAAGUUUUUCGGAAAGGGAUGGAGUCGCGGCCUAUCAGCUUGUUGGUGAGGUAACGGCUCACCAAGGCGACGACGGGUAGCCGGCCGGAGAGGGCGGCCGGCCACGCGGGGACUGAGACACGGCCCAGACUCCUACGGGAGGCAGCAGUGGGGAGUAUUGCACAAUGGGCGAAAGCCUGAUGCAGCGACGCCGCGUGAGGGAUGAAGGUCUUCGGAUUGUAAACCUCUUUCAGUAGGGACGAAGCGAAAGUGACGGUACCUAAAGAAGAAGCACCGGCUAACUACGUGCCAGCCGCCGCCGUAA